AAGUUCUUUUCUCAUCUCUUCCUCCUUUGUUCUCAGUACCUUCAUACUAGUCAACUAUCUACAAUUUGAAAAUAAUAGAGCCUCAAAAAAGGUUUCAGUUUCUACUCCAGAUGUAGAUAUUGUAAUAACAUGGGUUAAUGGAUCAGACCCACAGUUUUUAAAAUCUUUAGG